AUAGUACUCUCUCCGUCCGGAAAUACUUGUCGUAGAAAUGGAUGUAUCUAGAUGUAUUUUAGUUCUAGAUACAUCCAUUUUUAUUCAUUUCUUCGACAAAUAUUUCCGGGCGGAGGGAGUAUCUC
rnacentral:pre_miRNA from 1 species